ACUCGGAUCGAUCGAUUGAUUCAUAUGAUUGAUGUUGGGUUUGAUGGGUUUACCUUAACCCUAAUUCAGUCGGGACUCAUGAUGGAGGAACUCAAUCACACAGGUAGCUGCACCGAGAGGUUCAUUUUAAGUUCUGAUGGGUUGCUACCAUAUACUAUUAGGUGUCACUGGUGGAUUUUGAGAGCAAUUAGAAUGAUCUUGAUGAUCGAUCAUUCUAAUUGUAUGAAUCAGA
rnacentral:lncRNA from 1 species